rnacentral:rRNA from 1 species
GACGAACGCUGGCGGCGUGCUUAACACAUGCAAGUCGAACGAUGAAGCCGGAGCUUGCUCUGGUGAAUUAGUGGCGAACGGGUGAGUAACACGUGAGUAACCUGCCCUUGACUCUGGGAUAACUGCGGGAAACUGUAGCUAAUACCGGAUACGACCCUCGGAGGCAUCUCCUGGGGGUGGAAAGAAUUUCGGUCAAGGAUGGACUCGCGGCCUAUCAGCUAGUUGGUGAGGUAAAGGCUCACCAAGGCGACGACGGGUAGCCGGCCUGAGAGGGUGACCGGCCACACUGGGACUGAGACACGGCCCAGACUCCUACGGGAGGCAGCAGUGGGGAGUAUUGCGCAAUGGACGAAAGUCUGACGCAGCGACGCCUCGUGAGGGACGAAGGUCUUCGGAUUGUAAACCUCUUUCAGCAGGGACGAAGCGAAAGUGACGGUACCUGCAGAAGAAGCACCGGCUAACUAUGUGCCAGCCGCCGCCGUAA